UUCAUUCUGUUGCUUACGGACGUUGGCACGCCCGUACAGAGUCCCCUCAAAGUCUACGGUGCUAGUUUGGGCCGUGCCCGUCCUUUAGGUUAUAAAUGGUUAAGAAAGAUUCUCCAAACCGAGUGAUUGCCUUUUUCGAGUGGCUAUGGUUCGAGUAUCUCAUAUUUACUGCACUCUACAUGCUUGGAAGUCGGGAAAGAAUAGCCUUCACUAGUUUUUUAGUUGCUUUCCUCGCCACUGCUAGUUAUUCGAGCUACGUGUUCUUACCUCAUUAUCUCGGCUCAUUGCUACAUUACCUGGGAUACACUGCUGGUCAGAACUGGGAGUUUGGAAACCACUUGUAAGAAGACAGUCCGCUCCACCUUUCUCUUUCACAAUGGGCUCAAAGUCUGUCACUACAGAGAUUGAGAAGAGAGAAGCAGAAGUAAAGCAGUUCUAUCAUCGGAUUGAGACAGUGGAAAAAGCCCUAAGGCUGCGAGAACUCACACCUGAUGAGAGAACUGAGUUUGAGAAGGAGCUUGAUCUGUUAAAAACUGUGUUGAAAAACAAUGAGGAGCAGCUGAAAACUCUUCAAAAAGAAAACUACAAAACAGGCAUCAUUGCAACAGCUCUCAUCUUUAUUUGCUUUUUAGUUUAUGGCGUACUGUCUAUGUUUUGGAAUAAAUCCUCACAUUAAUGCA